rnacentral:rRNA from 1 species
UACGUAGGCAGCGAGCGUUGUUCGGAGUUACUGGGCGUAAAGGGCGCGUAGGCGGGAUGGCAAGUCGGUCGUGAAAUCCCUCGGCUCAACCGAGGAACGUCGAUCGAUACUGCUGUUCUUGAGGAUUGCAGAGGAGACUGGAAUUCCCGGUGUAGCGGUGAAAUGUGUAGAGAUCGGGAGGAACACCGGUGGCGAAGGCGGGUCUCUGGGCAAUUCCUGACGCUGAGGCGCGAAAGCGUGGGGAGCAAACGGG